UUUUCCAAAAGAAGGUGAAAUUUAAACUUAUACAAUUUUAUUCCCAGAUUUAUGAAUGAUAUAAGGUUCAUCGGCAAGAUGUAUAUCAAUUAAAUCUUUUUGUAGUUUUAUCAAUUAAAAUUAAUUUAUUUCCCUUGGCUAGGCUGAGUUAAUUAUUAAAAUGGUAAAAUUUUCCAAAAGAAGGUGAAAUUUAAACUUGUUUCCAAGGCACGAAGUUUGGAAACAAAUACAAGAGGCGAGAGAAAACCUUCAUACUCAUAAUCACGAUCUGGAGUGAACUGCAUCUAAUUAUUAUCGGUGGAUCAGAAAAAUCCGUGCCUUAGAAUUGAUGAAUUAUCGCAUUUCACAUUGUAAAUUACGCCAGUUACGGCAAACGCUGUUGUUUUCACAGUCACGCACAAUAGCUCAUGAAUCAGCGAUUUUCUCUGAACUUUUACUAGUUCUCAGCUACUGUUCCACGGGCAGAAUUAUUCUCGCCAAAUGGUCUGACUGACGGGACCACACUUUUUGUUUUUAUUUAAAAAAAAAUAAAAUAAAAACAAAUAAACAAAAGGAUCUGACCAAGGUUCUUUAAAAUUCAAGGCUUAGCUUAAUUUUUUUAAGAUUUUUUUCUUCCCUCACAUGUCUUGUAAGUUGACAAACAUUUCAAUGAAUAUGCCAAGUUAUGAUAGCUUGUCUAAGUUGAUAUUCAAAGCACAUGCCUCAUUUUAAGUGGUAAAGGAACUCAAAUAAUUAUUCUCACGGUAACCCCCUUGUUCAUUAAAAACGAUGAUUCUUUGAGUUAUUGUUCAUUUUUAUUUCUGAUGCUACUUUUUUUAAGGUUAGUUGUUUAAAUGAAUAAUUUAUAACACUUUUUAUGCUGUGUGAUAUGUAGCAUUGGUAUAUGUUAUUAAAAGAUUUAUAACAACUGAGGGUUUUGAAUGAA